rnacentral:rRNA from 1 species
GACGAACGCUGGCGGCGUGCUUAACACAUGCAAGUCGAACGGAAAGGCCCUGCUUUUGUGGGGUGCUCGAGUGGCGAACGGGUGAGUAACACGUGAGUAACCUGCCCUUGACUUUGGGAUAACUUCAGGAAACUGGGGCUAAUACCGGAUAGGAGCUCCUGCUCCAUGGUGGGGGUUGGAAAGUUUCGGCGGUUGGGGAUGGACUCGCGGCUUAUGAGCUUGUUGGUGGGGUAGUGGCUUACCAAGGGUUUGACGGGUAGCCGGCCUGAGAGGGUGACCGGCCACAUGGGGACUGAGAGACGGCGCAGACUCCUACGGGAGGCAGCAGUGGGGAAUAUUGCACAAUGGGCGGAAGCCUGAUGCAGCAACGCCGCGUGCGGGAUGACGGCCUUCGGGUGGUAAACCGCUUUCGCCUGUGACGAAGAGUGAGUGACGGUAAUGGGUAAAGAAGCAACGGCUAACUACGUG